rnacentral:rRNA from 1 species
GACGUAGGGCGCGAGCGUUGUCCGGAUUUAUUGGGCGUAAAGAGCUCGUAGGUGGUUUGUCGCGUUGUUCGUGAAAACUCACAGCUUAACUGUGGGCGUGCGGGCGAUACGGGGCAGACUGGAGUACUGCAGGGGAGACUGGAAUUCCUGGUGUAGCGGUGGAAUGCGCAGAUAUCAGGAGGGAACACCGGUGGCGAAGGCGGGUCUCUGGGCAGUAAACUGAC